rnacentral:rRNA from 1 species
UACGAAGGCCCCAAGCGUUAUCCGGAUUUAUUGGGCGUAAAGAGUCUGUAGGCGGUUUGAUAAGUUUUUCGUCAAAUCUGAGUGCUCAACAUUCAGACUGCGGAGAAUACUAUUAAACUAGAGGUCGGGAGAGGUAGAUGGAAUUGCCGGUGUAGCGGUAAAAUGCGUUAAUAUCGGCAAGAACACCAAAUGCGAAAGCUUUCUACUGGAACGAAUCUGACGCUGAGAGACGAAAGCGUGGGGAGCGAAU